rnacentral:rRNA from 2 species
CGCUGGCGGCAGGCCUAACACAUGCAAGUCGAGCGGAUGACGGGAGCUUGCUCCUUGAUUCAGCGGCGGACGGGUGAGUAAUGCCUAGGAAUCUGCCUGGUAGUGGGGGACAACGUUUCGAAAGGAACGCUAAUACCGCAUACGUCCUACGGGAGAAAGCAGGGGACCUUCGGGCCUUGCGCUAUCAGAUGAGCCUAGGUCGGAUUAGCUAGUUGGUGGGGUAAUGGCUCACCAAGGCGACGAUCCGUAACUGGUCUGAGAGGAUGAUCAGUCACACUGGAACUGAGACACGGUCCAGACUCCUACGGGAGGCAGCAGUGGGGAAUAUUGGACAAUGGGCGAAAGCCUGAUCCAGCCAUGCCGCGUGUGUGAAGAAGGUCUUCGGAUUGUAAAGCACUUUAAGUUGGGAGGAAGGGCAGUAAGUUAAUACCUUGCUGUUUUGACGUUACCGACAGAAUAAGCACCGGCUAACUCUGUGCCAGCAGCCGCGGUAAUACAGAGGGUGCAAGCGUUAAUCGGAAUUACUGGGCGUAAAGCGCGCGUAGGUGGUUCGUUAAGUUGGAUGUGAAAGCCCCGGGCUCAACCUGGGAACUGCAUCCAAAACUGGCGAGCUAGAGUACGGUAGAGGGUGGUGGAAUUUCCUGUGUAGCGGUGAAAUGCGUAGAUAUAGGAAGGAACACCAGUGGCGAAGGCGACCACCUGGACUGAUACUGACACUGAGGUGCGAAAGCGUGGGGAGCAAACAGGAUUAGAUACCCUGGUAGUCCACGCCGUAAACGAUGUCAACUAGCCGUUGGAAUCCUUGAGAUUUUAGUGGCGCAGCUAACGCAUUAAGUUGACCGCCUGGGGAGUACGGCCGCAAGGUUAAACUCAAAUGAAUUGACGGGGGCCCGCACAAGCCGGCGGAGCAUGUGGUUUAUUCGAAGCAACGCGAGAACCUUACCAGGGCCUGGACAUGCAGAGAACCUUCCAGAGAUCG